AUUGAACGCUGGCGGCAUGCCCUACACAUGCAAGUCGAACGGCAGCACGGGUGCUUGCACCUGGUGGCGAGUGGCGAACGGGUGAGUAAUACAUCGGAACAUGUCCUGUAGUGGGGGAUAGCCCGGCGAAAGCCGGAUUAAUACCGCAUACGAUCUACGGAUGAAAGCGGGGGACCUUCGGGCCUCGCGCUAUAGGGUUGGCCGAUGGCUGAAUAGCUAGUUGGUGGGGUAAAGGCCUACCAAGGCGACGAUCAGUAGCUGGUCUGAGAGGACGACCAGCCACACUGGGACUGAGACACGGCCCAGACUCCUACGGGAGGCAGCAGUGGGGAAUUUUGGACAAUGGGCGAAAGCCUGAUCCAGCAAUGCCGCGUGUGUGAAGAAGGCCUUCGGGUUGUAAAGCACUUUUGUCCGGAAAGAAAUCCUUGGCCCUAAUACGGUCGGGGGAUGACGGUACCGGAAGAAUAAGCACCGGCUAACUACGUG
rnacentral:rRNA from 1 species